GGAGCCAGAAGAGGAGCGUUGCCCAGGCAACCAGGGGGAGGAGUUCGGUCUCCGACGAUCCCGGGUCAGGGGGAGCAACGCCGAGAUGGGAGUGCAUACCGUUGUGCAUCCCGUCGGCUGCGGGGGCUGAAUCCCCCGGGCUGUCAUCGGUGGAGGGAUUACCCUUCUCAGGUGGAGCGCUUCUGGCCGG
rnacentral:ncRNA from 2 species